rnacentral:lncRNA from 1 species
UUCGAGGAGAGACAGGUUCAUGACCUUGCUGCUUGUCAGCAGUUACAGGCUGCUGUGUGGCUGACUGUGACACUGGUCCUUGCUUAACUACUGGAGUACUAACCUUUGGCUGUGAUGAAACAGGAGGAGUACUGAUCAAAGGUUUGAUAGGGACUGUGUUAGUUUGAGGUGUGCUUAUUCUUGGAGAAACAUAUGAUCUUGGGGAUGACGCAUCAGAUGUUAAAGACAUCGGAGACUGAUUAGAUGGCUGGGCUUGUGUAGAGAGCUGAGCAGCUUGAGAAAUCAGAGAC